GACGAACGCUGGCGGCGUGCUUAACACAUGCAAGUCGAACGGGCCUUGUCCCCUUUUUUUUGGGGGUGGGGUUAGUGGCGAACGGGUGAGUAACACGUGAGUAACCUGCCCCUCACUUCUGGAUAACCGCUUGAAAGGGUGGCUAAUACGGGGUGUUCUGGCCUGCUCGCAUGGGUGGGUUUGGAAAGAUUCGACCGGUUUUGGUUGUUUUGGUAGGGGAUGGGCUCGCGGCCUAUCAGCUUGUUGGUGGGGUGAUGGCCUGCCAAGGCUUUGACGGGUAGCCGGCCUGAGAGGGUGGGCGGUCACACUGGGACUGAGACACGGCCCAGACUCCUACGGGAGGCAGCAGUGGGGAAUAUUGCACAAUGGGCGCAAGCCUGAUGCAGCGACGCCGCGUGAGGGAUGGAGGCCUUCGGGUUGUGAACCUCUUUCGCCAGUGAAGAAGGUCCUGCUCUUUGUGGUGGGGUUGACGGUAGCUGGGUUAAUGAAGCGCCGGCUAACUACGUG
rnacentral:rRNA from 1 species